rnacentral:rRNA from 1 species
UACGAAGGUGGCAAGCGUUACUCGGAAUUACUAGGCGUAAAGCGCAGGUAGGUGGUUUGGUAAGUCCGCAAUGAAAUCUCCCGGCUUAACUGGGAGGGGUUUGUGGAUACUGUCAGGCUCGAGUGUGGGAGAGGUAACUGGAAUUCCUGGUGUAGCGGUGAAAUGCGUAGAUAUCAGGAGGAACACCAAUGGCGAAAGCAGGUUACUGGCCCAAUACUGACGCUGAGCUGCGAAAGCUAGGGGAGCAAACAGG